GCCUCCCCUCACUAGCACCACUGACUCCCUCCUUGCUGCGCGCCCGAGCCACUUCAGCCGUGCUGACCACCGAUGCUAGCAGAGCAUGCCGUGGCGAUGGCAGCAUCGCCCAAGCCAGAGACACGCGUGAGAUUCCCCCUAGAUUAGCUCGAGCUCAUCCACAAGCUCGACUGCUAGCGCCUGGUCCCCGCCAGUCGACCGCCACGUCGCCCGUGCAGUAGUCGUAGUUCUUAUCCACUGCCGCCAGGAAGCGAUGUCGCCCGCGCUAUAAAUAGGACCCCAAGCUCGCCCAGACCCUCCGAAUCAUAAAUCCUACCGCUCUCAAGCUACCCUAGCAACCAAUCAACCGGGGGAGGCCAUCUUCCUCAUCUCCGGUCAGAGUUCGGCCGCUGCCUCCCUAGUGAAAUUCGAGGCCAGCAGGAUUAAUCUUGCGCCCUUCUCCCCUUUAGUUGAACCACCCUCACCCCAUCAAGCCAUCCCAUCACUCAUACAUGAUUGGGAUCCACUGUAGGUCGAAUCCGCAUUACUCCCGCAAUAGCCGUUCGCCUCGGCGCUCGCCACCGGCGACCCUCUCCGUCUUCGCGGCCCUUUCGACCUCCAAGAGGACCAGUAGCUUGCGGGGAUCCCAUUCCCGCCAUCGGAAGAAACCCAGAAGUCGCCAAUCGCUGGCGACGACCGCUGGAACCCCGCCACCGCCCGGCCAGAGGAGGAAGAAGGCGCACGCGACUGGUCAAACCUGAUCAGUGGGCCCAAUUGACAGUCUGUUAGUGACUCGCGAGCCACGCGUGUGUUGGAUAAAAUGGACACGCCUUCUGUGAAGCCAGAUUGCACAUUUGGAGAAGAGCAUCCUCACGAUUGCCCCCGAAUCUAGGCACUGAAGACAGCAGCCGUGUGAGAUAGGAAUUAUUCAACUCAGCUGUUCUGGUGGGAAAUGGAGUCGCAUAGAUGCUGGAGAUCCCGGGACCGCUUCUUCCAUCAACCAGUAGAAACAUUUUUAUGUACUCCAUAGGCCAUCUUGGUCUUGUAAUUCAAACUUGUAAUUUUCUUGGACAUUGUAUCAAGGUUUUAUGUACCAUCUAACAGUAUUCCUUGGGCCGGUA